rnacentral:lncRNA from 1 species
UUUUUCUCCUGCCUCCAGCCGUAAAUUCACAGGUGACUUGGUGUCCUCACCGGGCCACCUAGGGUCGGAGGGAUUUGAGGAGCCAGACGUUGCAACGACGCACAAGGAGCGAUCCCGCGGAUUUCUUGAUUGCCAUUCACAUUGGAAUAGUAAGCCAACACGCAGCGCUGACAUACUUCAUUUAAAUAGCGCGAAACGGUCUCCAAAUCAUGCGUGCAACUAGGGAGGCGCUCGCACGGUUCGCUCGUUCGACGUGAUGGAACCCGUAGGGCGUUCACCACUGAGGCGAUGAGCAACUGCUUGCAUCUGCUGUCUACUUACUAACGUGUUAAUGGAGAUGUUGUGGAAAAACCCAUGCUAUUGGGAACGAGAUGAGUGCAGGCCAUCGGGACGUUGACAGGAAGUUAACGCCGUUUCUGAAUGCGCUGUGCUACCAGGCAGCUGCGCACUAACAAAGACUUUCCAUUCAAUUUCAUAUUCUUAGCACUGAAUUUAUUCAAGUAUUUCCCUUCGUGCCCAGCUGCACUUCGCUUUGGAAACAGAAGACCAUGGAAGAUUGAUUAAAGACAAACCUGCACCGCUCUCCCUUAACUAGUGUUUUGAUAUCAAGGGCACUAUGUUGUGCUUAGGAUUAUAAACCACGACGACUGCUCGUUCAUCGGCAAAUUGACCAGAUGGAUGCAAGUGUUCUCGCCUUGCCAGAAAGAAGCGCAUAGCAAGCGCCGUAGUUGGGAGCGUUAAAAAAUGUUACUUAGACUGUUAAUUAGAUUCAGAGGAAAAAGUGCCAUCAUAAAGGUUUGGCGAAAGAGAGGCUUCGGUUUGUUGGGCCUCCCUGGAGCCAAUGUUUGGACGGC